rnacentral:rRNA from 1 species
CCUACGGGAGGCAGCAGUGGGGAAUUUUGGACAAUGGGCGCAAGCCUGAUCCAGCCAUGCCGCGUGUGGGAAGAAGGCCUUCGGGUUGUAAACCACUUUUGUCAGGGAAGAAACGGUCUGAACUAAUACUUUGGACUAAUGACGGUACCUGAAGAAUAAGCACCGGCUAACUACGUGCCAGCAGCCGCGGUAAUACGUAGGGUGCAAGCGUUAAUCGGAAUUACUGGGCGUAAAGCGUGCGCAGGCGGCUUUGCAAGACAGAUGUGAAAUCCCCGGGCUCAACCUGGGAACUGCAUUUGUGACUGCAUGGCUAGAGUACGGUAGAGGGGGAUGGAAUUCCGCGUGUAGCAGUGAAAUGCGUAGAUAUGCGGAGGAACACCGAUGGCGAAGGCAAUCCCCUGGACCUGUACUGACGCUCAUGCACGAAAGCGUGGGGAGCAAACAGGAUUAGAUACCCUGGUAGUCCACGCCCUAAACGAUGUCAACUGGUUGUUGGGAGGGUUUCUUCUCAGUAACGAAGCUAACGCGUGAAGUUGACCGCCUGGGGAGUACGGCCGGCAAGGUUGAAACGUCAAAGGAAUUGAGG